UAGUUACUUCUGAGCUUGGCUACAGAUAUUACUGUGGCAAUAGCUACGGAGAGUAUUGGGAGGGAAGGACAUGUGAUUGGGAGUGGUUCGAAGGCCGGUAUGAGCUAAUGUUGCAAUUGGGCAGAA